rnacentral:rRNA from 1 species
CAGCCGCCGCGGUAAUACGGAGGGGGCAAGCGUUACUCGGAAUCACUGGGCGUAAAGCGCGCGCAGGCGGCCAUUUAAGUUGGAUGUGAAAGCCUACGGCUCAACCGUAGAACUGCAUCCAAAACUAUUUGGCUAGAGUGUGGGAGAGGAAGAUGGAAUUAGUUGUGUAGGGGUAAAAUCCGUAGAGAUAACUAGGAAUACCAAAAGCGAAGGCAAUCUUCUGGAACACUACUGACGCUGAGGCGCGAAAGCGUGGGGAGCAAACAGGAUUAGAUACCCUGGUAGUCCACGCAGUAAACGAUGAAUGUUAGUCGUCGGGUAGCUAGUCUAUUCGGUGAUGCAGCUAACGCAUUAAACAUUCCGCCUGGGGAGUACGGUCGCAAGAUUAAAACUCAAAGGAAUAGACGGGGACCCGCACAAGUGGUGGAGCAUGUGGUUUAAUUCGAAGAUACGCGAAGAACCUUACCUGGCCUUGACAUAUUUUAGAAUUCUUUAGAGAUAGAGAAGUGCCUUCGGGAGCUCAUAUACAGCUGCUGCACGGCUGUCGUCAGCUCGUGUCGUGAGAUGUUGGGUUAAGUCCCGCAACGAGCGCAACCCUCGUCACUAGUUACUAACGGUUCGGCCGAGGACUCU